rnacentral:rRNA from 1 species
AACGAACGCUGGCGGCAUGCCUAACACAUGCCAGUCGAACGAGACCUUCGGGUCUAGUGGCGCACGGGUGCGUAACGCGUGGGAACCUGCCCUUAGGUUCGGAAUAACUCCCCGAAAGGGGUGCUAAUACCGGAUAAUGUCUUCGGACCAAAGAUUUAUCGCCUUUGGAUGGGCCCGCGUUGGAUUAGCUAGUUGGUAGGGUAAAAGCCUACCAAGGCGACGAUCCAUAGCUGGUCUGAGAGGAUGAUCAGCCACACUGGGACUGAGACACGGCCCAGACUCCUACGGGAGGCAGCAGUAGGGAAUAUUGGACAAUGGGCGAAAGCCUGAUCCAGCAAUGCCGCGUGAGUGAUGAAGGCCUUAGGGUUGUAAAGCUCUCUUACCCGGGAUGAUAAUGACAGUACCGGGUGAAUAAGCUCCGGCUAACUCCGUG